CCUACGGGAGGCAGCAGUGGGGAAUAUUGGACAAUGGGCGAAAGCCUGAUCCAGCCAUGCCGCGUGUGUGAAGAAGGCCUUCGGGUUGUAAAGCACUUUCAGUGGGGAAGAAAGCCUUGGGGCUAAUACCCUCGAGGAAGGACAUCACCCACAGAAGAAGCACCGGCUAACUCCGUGCCAGCAGCCGCGGUAAUACGGAGGGUGCGAGCGUUAAUCGGAAUUACUGGGCGUAAAGCGCGCGUAGGCGGUCUGAUAAGCCGGUUGUGAAAGCCCCGGGCUCAACCUGGGAACGGCAUCCGGAACUGUUAGGCUAGAGUGCAGGAGAGGAAGGUAGAAUUCCCGGUGUAGCGGUGAAAUGCGUAGAGAUCGGGAGGAAUACCAGUGGCGAAGGCGGCCUUCUGGACUGACACUGACGCUGAGGUGCGAAAGCGUGGGUAGCAAACAGGAUUAGAUACCCGGGUAGUC
rnacentral:rRNA from 1 species